GAUUAAGAACGCAGCGAAAUGCGAUAAGUAAUGUGAAUUGCAGAAUUCAGUGAAUCAUCGAAUCUUUGAACGCACAUUGCGCCCCCUGGUAUUCCGGGGGGCAUGCCUGUCCGAGCGUCAUUACAACCCUCAAGCUCAGCUUGGUGUUGGGCCCCGCCGCCCCGGCGGGCCCUAAAGUCAGUGGCGGUGCCGUCCGGCUCCGAGCGUAGUAAUUCUUCUCGCUCUGGAGGUCCGGUCGUGUGCUCGCCAGCAACCCCCAAUUUUUUUCAGGUUGACCUCGGAUCAGGUAGGGAUACCCGCUGAACUUAAGCAUAUCAAUAAGCGGAGGA
rnacentral:misc_RNA from 1 species